UGCCUAUAGGGAGGCUAAUAUUUGACUGUUUGUUUGUUUACCUGUAAAAUUCUUCACAUGGCAAAGUCACUAUACAGGCCAUAUCACUGCGAAGAGUUUCUUACUUCCGUUGAGGACAUGCUGGACAAUCACUCCUACAUCCUAAUCAGCAGGAACGAAGACAAAUGACAUUCCGAUCUCUCAGCUGUAUGUCACUAAUUCAUGUACCCAUUCAAAAUGCUCAAGUUCUGUUCCAACUAUUUCAGUGGCUGUGACUGAAUAAUAUGCAGCUCAAGCUUUCAAUAAACAGGCAAUGACAGCCA